UACGGGGGGGGCAAGCGUUGUUCGGAAUUACUGGGCGUAAAGGGCUCGUAGGCGGCCAACUAAGUCGGAUGUGAAAUCCCCAGGCUCAACCUGGGAACUGCAUCCGAUACUGGAUGGCUUGAAUUCGGGAGAGGGAUGCAGAAUUCCAGGUGUAGCGGUGAAAUGCGUAGAUAUCUGGAGGAAUACCGGUGGCGAAGGCGGCAUCCUGGACCGACAUUGACGCUGAGGAGCGAAAGCCAGGGAGCAAACGGG
rnacentral:rRNA from 1 species